AAACACAAUGUUCUUGGAGAUGGUAGAUGAAUUCGUAAGGGUAAUUCUUGUUCAUCAGUUUAGCAUUGGUCUUUGUUAAAACAAACUCCCAUCUCUCCUCCUCUCCUCUGCUUGUCUUCUCUCUUCUAGAACGAUGGGCGAGGCAGCUCUGGAGGGUCUGCUUUCCUGCAGGCAACCGAUGUGCAGCCAUCUUGAGAUGGAGAGGUCGCUGGGUGGAAGAGCUGAGAAAGGGAGAUCCUUUGGUCCUGUCGAUUCAAAAUUUCCUCUGAGCCUCCCAUUUUGGAUCUGCUAUUCUUCUCAUUCUUCCUCCUCCUCCUCUUCUUCUUCUUCCUCUUCUUGCUCUGCUAGGAUGAUGUUCUUGAUGCGUACUCCAUUGGCUAACACGAUCUAAAAUAACCCUCCCUUGAGCAUAUCAACAUUUCUUGUCUACUGAGAUCAUUCGCUUAUGUAAUUAUUUGCCACAUCAUCUUAGUGGCUAUCUUGAACAGAAAUGUGUUUUUUUUUAUUCUUUAAAAUCAAUAAUUUAUACUUACUCUGUAUUUUGUAGUAUUAUUUUCCAGUUAGUUUGUGUCAAUGUUGAAAUAAAAUGUAAAAGUUGCAUUCUUUGCAAUUUGGAAGGUCAGUUGCUCUGCAGGCUUAACGCUGCACCCUACUGGUGAUGGCACAAGGUUUCUGGUAAGUGGGGCCAAGUAAGCCUUUCCUCCUGCUCAACUCCGCAAGCCAUUUUUUUGUCUCCUUUUCAUUUUUUGUUAUUGUCAUAUCUUAUUCUUGUAUCAAAAAACUUAUGAAUUUUUUUAAUGCCAUGGUCAUUUCCUCCAGUAAAAUUUAGAGGCAUAUGUUUUGUGGUGGUCAUGAUGAUGCCCUUCGUCUAAAACAGUAAUUCUCUUACUAUUAAUCCAUGGCUGCUUUUUCGCUGUGGAGGUGGAAGGUGCUGUCGAUAUCCCUUCCUUUCUCCUCUUCUUUCCAAUCUUAAAAUAGUGAUAAUUUGUGGAGGAAGUUGAGGCUUAUUGUUCAAGUUAUGAUUCUAUUAUGAUUGUUUUUCUCUGAUUUCUGAGGCAAUAAUGAGAUAUUCUGAACAUAAUUUGCUGGUAGAUGUAGAUUAUGCAUGUAACUUUCAUGUUUUCUGAUCGAUCCAGAUUAUAUACCCAUUUAUUUUAUAUUUUUAGUUUGUUUUAAAAGAUUGGCUCUGUACACAUUUUAUGCAUAUACCCAUGUAUUGUAAAUUUACAUGAACAAAAAUUGUACGUACAUGCAUACAUAAAUAUCUUUAUAGAUGUACUAUUGUUAGUCACGUAUGGUGCAUGUUGUUUAUUCUAAAGGAAGGAGCGUGUGAUGCAUGAUUAUAAUCUCAUCUAUUACAAUUUUUUGUUGUUAAUGUGUUGAACUUACUUCCCAUUUUUGUCUUUGUGCAUCCUUCGCCUUAAUUAUUCAUUAGGAAACAACCAUGGAGGGUCGUAUUUACUAAAAGAAGAAUGUGCAACUGGUAGCUUUGCAUGACGGCUACAGAGGUCCGUAGCUGGUAGCUUAUAUAAUGUGCAACUGUGCUGCUGAGUGCUGUUCCAUUGCCUGCUUACUUCUCUCUCCAUCUUUUUGGAGGUUGAUCGGUAAGAAAGCUUUUGGCUCUCAGGGCUUCUAGUGCUGCUCCUUUUCUUUGUUCUUUGGCCUUCUUCUACUCCUAUUCUAUGUUUUCUUGUUCUCAAACCAAACCCAAUGUUCUUGGAGAUGGUAGAUGAAUUCGUAAGGGUAAUUCUUGUUCAUCAGUUUGGCAUUGGUCUUUGUUAAAACAAAUUCCUAUCUCUCCUCCUCUCCUCUGUUUGUCUUCUCUCUUCUAGAACGAUAGGCGAGGCAGCUCUGGAGGGUCUGCUGUUUUGCAGGCAACCGAUCUGCAGCCAUCUUGAGAUGGAGAGGUCACCGCGCAGAGGAGCCCAGAAAGGGAGAUCCUUUGGUCCUGUCGAUUCAAGAUUUCCUCUAAGCCUCCCAUUUUGCAUCUGCUAUUCUUCAAUUUCUUCUUCUUCUUCUUCUUGCUCUGCUAGGUGGGUAAAGGGCAUGAUGUUCUGUCUCUCUCUCUUCCUUUAUCUUUAUCUUUUCUUUUGUUUUCUAUUGCUUUACAAGAAGAGGCUGUGAUGAUUCUAGUCAUAGCGAUUGUGGCAUUAUGAAGUGGGAAACAAUUAAUUCCAAAUGGCAACGCGAUCCUGGAUGGCCUGCUGCUGUUUAGCAGGCAACCGUUUGCAGCCAGUUUGGUUUAGUUGUUGGGAAUACUCAAAGUAAUAAUACAAUUCUGAAGACAAUGGUGAAUCUGAACCUCCUUUUUUCUUCCUCUUCUUCACUUUUCUAAUAUCUGUUCUUCUUCUUUCCUAAGAUUCUAUGUUUCAAUGCUUUUUUAACUUCUUUUCUGUAAUCAGAUUUUUCUGAUGAGUUGUUCCUGUGGCUUCCAAACUUCAUAGGUUUUGGAGGCUGAUGAAUGUGCUCAGGGAUGGGGAUUGCAUCAAUAGUAGCUAUGGUUUUGUGCAAGGUAUGCUAAAUCGACCGGAACUGGUCGGUUCAGCCCAUACCGGACCGGUGCCCCUUCUAAGUCGGAACCGAUCGGGGAAGAAGAAAGAAGAGGAAGAAGAAGAACAUGAAAGAAGAGGAAGAAAGAGGAGGAAGAAGAAUAGAAAGAGGAGACUUACCAGUACCGGGCCUCGUCGAGGUGCGAUCCUCGUCGGGGCUUGCUCGCGGAAGAAGAGCGGAGGAGAGAGGAUCCUCGUCAGGGCUUGCUCACGGGAGAAGAGCGGAGGAGAGAGGAGAAGAAACGGGAAGGCUUGUAAAGAAGGAAGAAAAUUCCACGCGGAAAACGCAUCCUGCAAGGGAAAUGACGCGGGGAAACGCGUUUGUGGGUGCAGUUUUAAGUAGGAAAACGAGGAAAACGGGCGGAAACACGUUUCGCGUGUGCGGGGCCGUGCACGCGAGAGCGUGCUGUCCCCGAAUUAGAUCGGUACGACCCGAUUCGAUUCGGGAUGAUAUCGGUACUGUACCGGUACCGGUGCCCACCAGUACCGUCGGUACGGUCGGUAUGGCGGCCCUUUUUGUGGAAUCACAUCCCCAAUUUUUUUUUUUUAAAAAAAAAUUAUUGUUGAAAACUAGGGAAUAUUUGCUUGUUAGCAAGGUUCCACCGUGCUCUCGAUCUCGACUCAAUUUUUUCUUCUGUUUUCACUUAAGUUGUUUUUACCCAUGGGACAAGGGUUUUGAUCUUGCAUUGGCAUCCAUUUUUCCUCAAUUACUUUGUAUUCUUUUCCUUCUUCUUUCGAGCAUCAAUGUGAUGAAAUGUCAACCUGAAAAGUCUACUUUGCGGUAACUACCUGGUUCUUUGAGCUGGUUCUCUAACAUUGCUCUUCUAACAUGGCUUGCUUAGGGGCUGUCUGGGCUUUGUGAGUUGCAUUACUUUUUAAACCUAUAUGAAGGAGUUGCAGGAAUCCAUAGGAAUUUCUUGGAGCUGGUAUUAGAUGUAGUGGCAAUUUGCUUUGCUCGUAUGCUUCUGUGCUUACAAAACCUGCACAUGUGACUUUCUUGGAUUUGAUGUGUACUCCAUUGGCUGACACGAUCUAAAAUAACCCUCCCUUAAGCAUAUCAACAUUUCUUGUCUACUGAGAUCAUUCGCUUAUGUAAUUUUUUGCCACAUCCUCUUAGUGGCUAUGCCGAACAAAAAUGUGAUUUUUUUAUUCUUUAAAAUCAAUAAUUUAUACUUACUCUGUAUGGUGUA